ACUAAGAGUUUGAUAUGUGUGUGAGUCAACGGGCGAGUAAACCUGUAAGCCUUAAGGAAGAUGAUUGGUGGUAUCCCCCUAAGGGGUUCACCGCCGACCGACCUUGAUCUUCUCAGAAGGGUUAGAGUGUGAGCAUACCUGCCGGGACCCAAAACAUAGUGAAAUAUGCCUUAGCGGGGAGAAGCUAGAGGACACUCUGGUCGAGGCCCGCAGCGAUACUGACAUGCAAAUCAUUCGUAUAACUUUGGUAUAUGGGAGAAAGACUAAUGAAACCAUCAAGUAGCUGGUUUCCUCCAAAGUUUACCUCCGGAUAGCUGGAGCUCGCGUGCGAAUUCUAUCGGGUAACGCAAAUUAUUAGAGGACUCGGGAGAUAAAUGCCCUUGACCCAUUCUCAAACAUUAAAUAGGUAGGACGGCGCGACUAUUUUGUUGAUCCGCGCCAUAUAAUCAAAAGCUACAACCUUGUCAUUUUUUAUAUUUAGAAUUAGCGAUGUGGGAUGAACCUAAAAAAGACAGGCUAUGGUUCCAAACUGCACUAACCUAGAUCCCACAAAGGGUGUUGGUCGAUUAAGAAAGCAGGAAGGUUGUCAUGGAAGUAGAAAUCCGCUAACGAGUGUGUAACAACUCACUAUUCGGAUCAACUAGCCCUGAAAAUUGAUGGCAAUUAAGCAAGAUGAGUAGGGGGGCGUAGCGGUCGCUUUAUAACCUUGGGCGUGAGACUAGGCGCAAUGGUCAUCGAUGCAAAUCUUGGUGAUAGUAACCAAUAUUCAAAUGAGAACUUUUAAGUCCGAAGAGGGGAAAGGUUCCAUGUGAACGGAACUUGCACAUGCGUUAAGCGAUCCUAAAGGUUGGGGGAGCCUCGACAGAUAGCAUGUUUCGCGCAUACUCCGAAAGGAAAUUAGGUUAAAUUUCCUGAAAGGCGAUGUGGCAGUUGACGCUAAAAUUAAAAAGUGCGGAGACAUCGGCGGAUGCCUCGGGAAGAGUUAUAUUUUAUGUUUAAUAGCCUACCCACCCUGGAUUCGACUCAGGCGAAGGUGGGAUCCAGUAGCUGGAAGAGCACCGCAUGUUACGUGGUGUCCAGUGCACACCUCGAGUCCCUUUAAAAUUAGAAGGAUCGAAUGUCAUCCAUGCCCGGUCGUACUCAUAACCAGAUCAGGUGUCCAAGGUGAACUACCUAUAGUC
rnacentral:ncRNA from 1 species